AAACACAAAACCAUAAACAAAACAACUGAGCAAAGUUUUUGCGAAAAACAAAUUUAGAAGUAUUUAAACCAGCCAACGUAGAACAUGUAAUUCUCAAACUUACAUCUAGCAAAAAUUUUGUUAUCAAACCUUAAAAAAAACAAACGAUAAAAAUCAGAAAAAAUGCAUCUUCCAAUAAAAUUUGUUUACUUAAUCAGCUUAAUCUUUAUGAUAUUAAAAACCAGUUUUUCCGCUGAAUUUUCUGCAGAAGUUGGAGAACCCUCUUUGUCUGUGGAGGACUCCAGUUUAGAGGACCGUCAGCGCUCAUUACCCCAGAUUAACAAUGAUAUGCUGUCACAUAAAAAUCCCUCACUUACUAAUAAUGAAUUGAAAGAGUUGUGGGAGAAAUUGCCGGAAUAUGAAUUAACCGAUAUUAAAUAAGUGUUUUUUUUUUAAAAAAAAGUGUUAAAAGUUGUGUAAAAUUUUUUUUAUUGUUAUUUAGUGUUAAAAAUAAAAUAAAAAUGUAUUGUAAAUAAAACAUAAAAUAUUAGUAAGGAAAAUUAAAA